UGUAUCGAAAGGGCCUUUAGGGUUGUAAAGUUCUUUCGUCGGGGACGAUGAUGACGGUACCCGGUAACGAAGAAGCCCCGGCUAAACUUCCGUGC
rnacentral:rRNA from 1 species